UGGGGAAUAUUGCACAAUGGGCGCAAGCCUGAUGCAGCCAUGCCGCGUGUAUGAAGAAGGCCUUCGGGUUGUAAAGUACUUUCAGCGGGGAGGAAGGUGUUGUGGUUAAUAACCGCAGCAAUUGACGUUACCCGCAGAAGAAGCACCGGCUAACUCCGUGCCAGCAGCCGCGGUAAUACGGAGGGUGCAAGCGUUAAUCGGAAUUACUGGGCGUAAAGCGCACGCAGGCGGUCUGUCAAGUCGGAUGUGAAAUCCCCGGGCUCAACCUGGGAACUGCAUUCGAAACUGGCAGGCUAGAGUCUUGUAGAGGGGGGUAGAAUGCCAGGUGUAGCGGUGAAAUGCGUAGAGAUCUGGAGGAAUACCGGUGGCGAAGGCGGCCCCCUGGACAAAGACUGACGCUCAGGUGCGAAAGCGUGGGGAGCAAACA
rnacentral:rRNA from 1 species